rnacentral:rRNA from 1 species
GACGAACGCUGGCGGCGUGCUUAACACAUGCAAGUCGAACGGAAAGGCCCUGCUUUUGUGGGGUGCUCGAGUGGCGAACGGGUGAGUAACACGGGAGUAACCUGCCCUUGACUUUGGGAUAACUUCAGGAAACUGGGGCUAAUACCGGAUAGGAGCUCCUGCUGCAUGGUGGGGGUUGGAAAGUUUCGGCGGGUGGGGAUGGACUCGCGGCUUAUCAGCUUGUUGGUGGGGUAGUGGCUUACCAAGGCUUUGACGGGUAGCCGGCCUGAGAGGGUGACCGGCCACAUUGGGACUGAGAUACGGCCCAGACUCCUACGGGAGGCAGCAGUGGGGAAUAUUGCACAAUGGGCGGAAGCCUGAUGCAGCAACGCCGCGUGCGGGAUGACGGCCUUCGGGUUGUAAACCGCUUUCGCCUGUGACGAAGCGUGAGUGACGGUAAUGGGUAAAGAAGCACCGGCUAACUACGUG